AAUAUUGCACAAUGGGGGAAACCCUGAUGCAGCGACGCCGCGUGAGCGAAGAAGGCCUUCGGGUCNUCAAGAUCUGUCCUAAGGGANGAAACGGACGGUACCUAAGGAGGAAGCCCCGGUCAACUACGUGCCAGCAGCCGCGGUAAUACGUAGGGGGCAAGCGUUGUCCGGAAUUAUUGGGCGUAAAGGGUGCGUAGGCGGCCUUUUAAGUAAGAAGUGAAAGCCCACGGCUUAACCGUAGGACUGCUUUUGAAACUGUAGGGAUUGAGUGCAGGAGAGGAGAGUGGAAUUCCUAGUGGAGCGGUGAAAUGCGUAGAUAUUAGGAGGAACACCAGGGGCGAAGGCGACUCUCUGGACUGCAACUGACGCUGAGGCACGAAAGCGUGGGGAGCGAAC
rnacentral:rRNA from 1 species